rnacentral:rRNA from 1 species
GAUGAACGCUGGCGGCGUGCCUAAUACAUGCAAGUCGAGCGAACAGACGAGGAGCUUGCUCCUCGGACGUUAGCGGCGGACGGGUGAGUAACACGUGGAUAACCUACCUAUAAGACGGGGAUAACUUCGGGAAACCGGAGCUAAUACCGGAGAAUAUCUUGAACCGCAGGGGUCAAUGGUGAAAUACGGCUUUGGUGGCACUUAUAGAUGGAUCCGGGCCGCAUUGGGUGGUUGGUAAGGUAAAGGGUUACCAAGGGGGGGAUGCGUGACCGACCUGAGGGGGGGGUCGCCCACCCGGGAACGGGGACGCGCUCCAGGCUCCUACGGGAGGCAGCAGUAGGGUAUGUUCCGCAAUGGGCGAAAGCCUGACGGAGCGACGGCGCGUGAGAGGUGAAGGUCUUCCGAUCGUAAUACUGUGUUAUUAGUGAAGAACAGCUUUGUAAGGAACUAUGCCCGGCUUGACGGUACCUGAUCAGAAAGCCACGGCUAACUACGUG